CGAGGGCCUCGCGGGGAAUUCCGCGGAGCAGCCGCACCCGCCGCCGGGGCGAGCUGGGAAGAAAGCCUGCGCCCAUCCUGAGGUCCUCAACCUGCCCUUCGUCCUCGGUAUCGAACUUUAUGGUGCUGUGGACCCCGAGACUUCUUCCGGCUCCUGCACCACGCGAUGUCCAGUCAGGAGAAACAGCACGUUUUCAUCCCGACACUGUUGGGCUUCCUACCUCGGUGUGUCGUUCCGAAACAUCCGGAUUCCGAGUGACAAGGGACGGAACUCAACUGUAAGGCAAACAGAAGGUGUCGGUUGACCUUGUAAUGGAGAAGUACAAGGCCGUCGGGAAGAUCACAUUCCUCCCUCCCCUCUGAGUAGGCCCGCAGUGCAGGUCUAGGGCCACACAGGCGAGGAAGUCUGCGAAGCUGAUUUCUUGUUGGAGCCUCUGGUGAACAGAGGUGCUUGCCUGACUCACACACAGGGACCUGUCCAACCUCCGGAAGAAGAAAGAUCCCCGAAGCUAAGCACCAAGCAGGACGCGGGGCGGGGGUGCUGGCACGGGCCUGCUUACUUCCAAGGUGCGGCUGCUCACCAGAGCCCCAUAACGAGCUUCCCAGGCAGUGGAAGGACGGAAUUUUCCAUAGCGCAGGAGCUCAUUCUGUCUUUUCUUCUGAUGGAGCUCUCAUGAUCAUUAGUAAAGCAGUUGCUAAUGAAAACUGGACUUUUCCCUGGUGGCCCCCAGUAAAAACUGUUGUUUUUACAGCUUCUGUGUCUGUCCUUCUCCUGGGCCGCUUCUAAACUACGUCAAUAACCACCCAGUAUUCCCUUUCUCUCAUUCUCAAAUCCCACAUAAUUCACACAGUGGCCCUUUUCAUAAUUGUUUACAAAUAAGUGAAUGCAACCCAGGGGUCAGUUCGUUUAGACUGCAUUGGCAGUUACAUUUGAAAGCUCCAAAUCUGGACUGUGUCCCUUAACCUGCUCCUCCUGGACUUCCUUCACAUCCUUUUCCAGGACCUUCUCCCUGAACUUUUCCCACACAACACCCUGUUCAUUCCUCCUCCUGUUUUCCUAGUUCUCCUUUCUGCACAUCUUUUCCUUUGCUCUUUGUCCCUCUUAGCUCCGAGCUACCUCCAUUGUAUUUAUCCAGUGAACUGACGGUUUCUGGAGGACUGGCCCCAAGCACGUUUUCAUUUGUGUGCAUUCCGAUCUUUGGUUCCCAAGAGAAGCUGGCUGAACCACUCCUGGCCUCCAGAGGAAGGAGAAGGGGUCUGAAGCAAGUUGCCUCCAGAGGUAGGUGAAGUAGAGGAAAGGCUGAGGCGGACCCUGAGGCACAGGCUCUGCCCGAGUGGUCAUCUGCCUACAGAGCACUCUCCCUCCUUUACUUUGUAACAGAAAUUGUCAACUGUGUAUUCGUAAAAGUGGCCUGUGUCACUGCCAAAUACCUCUUAGGCUUGUAGAUGCUGGCCCUGGCUCCUGAGUACAUUCUGCCUGCAGACAGAAGCAGCCCGAUUUGGACACAGGGAUGAACACCUGGCUGAAAACCACAACCACAUUGGGAAAGGGAAACCAUUCAUUCAUAAAUUGACAAAAAAGGAAAUAUCAAGACAGCUUCAUUAAAGAUCUGUUAAAACUUAAUUUACUAGAUAGCUAUUGCUACUUUGUAAAAAAAUUAAAUAUGAAGAAUUAAAUGAAAAUUGUUCAGUAACCUUUGCUCCAUUAUUCCUUCAUUUUACGCCUGCAGAUAAAUGUCCUAACAGAUCCUCUCAUCAUGUGUACUAAAGAUAUAAAUGUUCAACACCACCCCCU
ensembl:lincRNA